rnacentral:rRNA from 1 species
GAUCGUGGCUAGGUGGGCGGUUCUCUGCCCGCGACGUCGCGAGAAGUCCACUGAACCUUAUCAUUUAGAGGAAGGAGAACGUCGUAACAAGGUUUCCGUAGGUGAACCUGCGGAAGGAUCAUUG